AUCACUUCUUGGCUUUUUGGCUAAGAUCAAGUGUAGUAUCUGUUCUUAUCAGUUUAAAAUGACUAGCAUGGUGGGGUGCCUGGGUGGCUCAGUCAGUCAAGCGUUUGACCUUGGCUCAGGUCAUGAUCUCACAGUUAGUGGGUCUGAGCCCCAUGUCAGGCACUGUGCUGACAGCUCAGAGCCUGGAGCCUAC
ensembl:snRNA U2 U2 spliceosomal RNA